UGGGCUUCUCCCCUGGCGUCGGCGAACGUUCGGAAGAAACCACAACGAUUUCGAUUGAU
rnacentral:misc_RNA from 1 species